AUGAGUAAAACUCACUGUGGUCACUACACCAGUGUUGUAUUUCACGUGCAUUUGUUGCUGCCUGAAAGUAAGUAUCAGUUAUUAAUUUCGUCCCCGUUGAGCGUUCGCUUAAAUUGGUGUCAUCAGAAUGAUUUUGAAGCUGAUAUGUCAAGCUGCGAAAACGGGGCGGAGCCGCGUGUGAUGAUGUCAGCGAAGGGGGCGGAGUCGGUCUGCUGCAGUCGUUCUGAACGCCAGCUCAACACUGGAGUCCUGUGGACCUGCGGACAUCACACACACACACACACACACACACACACACACACACACACCACUGCUGAGCUGAUGCAUGUAAGACUGCAACAAUAUGAUAUGCAAGCAUGA
ensembl:lncRNA